UACGUAGGCAGCGAGCGUUGUUCGGAAUUAUUGGGCGUAAAGAGCGUGUAGGCGGUUUUGUAGGUCCGCUGUGAAAACUCGAGGCUCAACCUCGAGACGCCGGUGGAAACCAUCAGGCUAGAGUCCGGAAGAGGAGAGUGGAAUUCCUGGUGUAGCGGUGAAAUGCGCAGAUAUCAGGAAGAACACCCGUGGCUAAGGCGGCUCUCUAGUACGGUACUGACGCUGAGACGCGAAAGCGUGGGGAGCGAACAGG
rnacentral:rRNA from 1 species